GACAGAGGCCUCGAGCGUUAGGCGGAACCACUGGGCUUAAAGCGUGUGUAGGCGGAUCGUUAAGUACCUUGUGAAAUCCCACGGCUCAACCGUGGAACGGCUGGGUAUACUGGCGGUCUUGGGCCAUUCAGGGGCGACUGGAACAAGCGGUGGAGCGGUGAAAUGCGUAGAUAUCGCUUGGAACGCCGAAGGUGAAAACAGGUCGCUGGGGAUGUGCCGACGCUGAGACACGAAAGCCAGGGGAGCAAACGGG
rnacentral:rRNA from 1 species